CCGCAGUGAAAGCGCUGCCCCCUAGCGACUGGAGGAUAGCCGAGCGUUCCCACGGGGCUGGUUACUACUCUCCAGACAGCAGGAAGACCAAUGGAGAACAGCAUAUUCAGAGGACACUUUCCAAUCUCUUCUCUAAUUCUGAGCAGACCCAGAUCUAGGAGUUCUAGGAGGUCAAACAAGACUCGAAACCAAUGAAUGAAGUUCAGUGCCUGUGAAUCAGAUGCUAGAGUUUUCCCUCAUCGAUGUGGCUGACAACCUAGACUACAAAGUGUUGAGCUAUAUCCUUACCCAUGUGGAGGAGAAAGUGUGAGCUGCUCCACCAUUCAGGCUGCAACCUGCAGCUAGCUCAAUAAAGUUG
rnacentral:lncRNA from 1 species